rnacentral:rRNA from 1 species
AACGAACGCUGGCGGCAGGCCUAACACAUGCAAGUCGAGCGGACCCUUCGGGGUUAGCGGCGGACGGGUGAGUAACGCGUGGGAAUAUGCCCUUCUCUACGGAAUAGUCCUGGGAAACUGGGGGUAAUACCGUAUACGCCCUUUGGGGGAAAGAUUUAUCGGGGAAGGAUUAGCCCGCGUUGGAUUAGGUAGUUGGUGGGGUAAUGGCCUACCAAGCCGACGAUCCAUAGCUGGUUUGAGAGGAUGAUCAGCCACACUGGGACUGAGACACGGCCCAGACUCCUACGGGAGGAAGCAGUGGGGAAUCUUAGACAAUGGGGGCAACCCUGAUCUAGCCAUGCCGCGUGAGUGAUGAAGGCCUUAGGGUUGUAAAGCUCUUUCAGCUGGGAAGAUAAUGACGGUACCAGCAGAAGAAGCCCCGGCUAACUCCGUG